GACGAACGCUGGCGGCGUGCUUAACACAUGCAAGUCGAGCGGAAAGGCCCUUUCGGGGGUACUCGAGCGGCGAACGGGUGAGUAACACGUGAGUAAUCUGCCCUUGGCUUUGGGAUAACCACCGGAAACGGUGGCUAAUACCGGAUAUGACGGGCUCCGGCAUCGGGGUUCGUGGAAAGUUUUUUCGGCCAGGGAUGUGCUCGCGGCCUAUCAGCUUGUUGGUGGGGUAAUGGCCUACCAAGGCUUCGACGGGUAGCCGGCCUGAGAGGGUGACCGGCCACACUGGGACUGAGACACGGCCCAGACUCCUACGGGAGGCAGCAGUGGGGAAUAUUGGACAAUGGGCGAAGCCUGAUCCAGCAACGCCGCGUGAGGGAUGACGGCCUCGGUUGGUAAACC
rnacentral:rRNA from 1 species